rnacentral:rRNA from 1 species
CCAACAGGGAUUGCCUUAGUAGCGGCGAGUGAAGCGGCAAUAGCUCAAAUUUGAAAUCUGGCACUUUCAGUGUCCGAGUUGUAAUUUGAAGAAGGUAUCUUUGGGUCUAGCUCUUGUCUAUGUUUCUUGGAACAGAACGUCACAGAGGGUGAGAAUCCCGUGCGAUGAGAUGUCUAGAUCUAUGUAAAGUUCCUUCGAAGAGUCGAGUUGUUUGGGAAUGCAGCUCUAAGUGGGUGGUAAAUUCCAUCUAAAGCUAAAUAUUGGCGAGAGACCGAUAGCGAACAAGUACAGUGAUGGAAAGAUGAAAAGAACUUUGAAAAGAGAGUGAAAAAGUACGUGAAAUUGUUGAAAGGGAAGGGCUUGAGAUCAGACUUGGUAUUUUGUAUGUUACUCUCUCGGGGGUGGCCUCUACAGUUUACCGGGCCAGCAUCAGUUUGAGCGGUAGGAGAAUUGCGUAGGAAUGUGGCUCGGCCUCGGUCGAGUGUUAUAGCCUUCGUCGAUACUGCCAGCUUAGACUGAGGACUGCGGCUUCGGCCUAGGAUGUUGGCAUAAUGAUCUUAAGUCGCCCGUCUUGAAACACGGACCUCCUGUGUGAGUGAUCCCCCCCUAAAAA